GCUAAAAAUGGUCAAUAAACUAGGUAUUGAUGGAACAUAUCUCAAAAUAAUAAGAACUAUUUAUGACGAUAUUCUAUAAACCUGACAAAAGCAAGCAAUGGGGAAAGGAUUCCCUAUUUAAUAAUUGGUGCUGGGAAAACUGGCUAGCCAUAUGAAGAAAACUGAAACUGGACCCCUUCCUUAUACCUUAUACAAAAAUUAACUCCAGAUGGAUUAAAGACUUAAAUGUAAAACCUAAAACCAUAGAAACCCUAGAAGAAAACCUAGGCAAUACUAUUCAGGACUUAGGCAUGGGCAAAGACUUCAUGACUAAAAUAUCAAAAGCAAUUGCAACAAAAGCCAAAAUUGACAAAUGGGAUCUAAUUAAACUAAAGAGCUUCUGCACAGCAAAAGAAACUAUCAUCAGAGUGAACACGCAACCUACACAA
rnacentral:lncRNA from 1 species